UUGAAACACAUUGGGGCAGAAGAGAAGAGCAGCCAAGGAGCCUCAAGCACAGGCUUAGUGAGAGGGACAAUAGCUGAGUGGAGCUUCUUCCUGGGAAGUCCUCUUAGAAAUGGAGAAAACAAACACCAGUGCAGUCAUCUGAAGAAACCUUUCCCACAGGAUGAGGCGCCAACGCUUCCUCCUGUCUGUCCUGCAGAGUGAAAAGUGAACAGUGUGAUUUCCUGAGGGACAUUGCCAUCCAUGGAGAGGUUGUGUCAGCCUUGAACAAUUCCUGCUGUAGCAUCUGCAUGGCCAACAAAGCCCAUGUGAUGUCAGAAAGUGAUCCCAUUGUAGACUCUGCUGUGUAACAACAAAAUAUAUAACAGAUCAAAGAGAUUUUAUAAGCUUUGUAGCAACAAAAUAUAUGACACAUUAAAGACAUUUUAUAAGCUUCACUCGAACUUCUAAGUUUUAUAAAGUAAGUUCUCCCAUCCUCUGCCCAAUUGUUUUGCUCUGACAAGUUACAUUUUCCUGCAGUCAUAUUCCAGUAUUUUAACCUGAAACU